GCCGGGGUAGUCUAGUCUGGUAAGGCGCCUGCCUCGAGAGCAGGUGGGCGUAAGCCCACAGGGGUUCAAAUCCCCUCCCCGGCG
rnacentral:tRNA from 1 species